GUUACCUUGAGACCUUUGUCGCAUAGUUGGCUUAUGCUUAGAAGGUUAUGUUUGAGGCCUUCAACGUAUAAGACGUCUUUUAUCGUCAAUGUGUUUCCUCCUCCAAUGUCUCCGGUUCCCAUUAUUCUGCCUUUGUUGUUAUCCCCAUAAGUUACAAAUCCUUGCUUCUUCUUCACAAAAGAGAUGAACCUUUUCUUGUCACCUGUCAUGUGUCUUGAGCAACCACUGUCAAGAUACCACAAUGACUUCUUUGACUUAGUUGGUUCUUGGCUUCCUAUAUCUUCAGAAUCCGCCAUAAGGCAUAAGUUGGCUUCUUCUUCUGAGUCAAUUGAGCUUGUUGAGCUAGAAGCAUUGUCCUCCCAAGCUAUGUAAGUGAUAAUCGAUUAUUCAAGUCCGUUACAGGGUUUUCAAAAAGUGAUAAUCGAUUAUAGGAAGUGAUAAUCGAUUAU
rnacentral:lncRNA from 1 species